rnacentral:rRNA from 1 species
UACGUAGGGAGCGAGCGUUGUCCGAAGUUACUGGGCGUAAAGCGCGCGUAGGCGGGCCAUUAAGUGAGAGGUGAAAUUCCAGGGCUCAACCCCGGAACUGCCUCUCAUACUGUUGGUCUUGAGUGAGGUAGAGAGAAGUGGAAUGGCUGGUGUAGCGGUGAAAUGCGUAGAUAUCAGUCGGAACACCGGUGGCGAAGGCGGCUUCUUGGGCCUUUACUGACGCUGAUGCGCGAAAGCCAGGGGAGCGAACGGG